rnacentral:rRNA from 1 species
UACGUAGGUGGCAAGCGUUGUCCGGAAUUAUUGGGCGUAAAGCGCGCGCAGGCGGUCCUUUAAGUCUGAUGUGAAAGCCCACGGCUCAACCGUGGAGGGUCAUUGGAAACUGGGGGACUUGAGUGCAGGAGAGAAGAGUGGAAUUCCACGUGUAGCGGUGAAAUGCGUAGAGAUGUGGAGGAACACCAGUGGCGAAGGCGACUCUUUGGCCUGUAACUGACGCUGAGGCGCGAAGCGUGGGGAGCAAACAGGA